rnacentral:rRNA from 1 species
AGACCCGAAACCCGGUGAUCUAGCCAUGGGCAGGUUGAAGGUUGGGUAACACUAACUGGAGGACCGAACCGACUAAUGUUGAAAAAUUAGCGGAUGACCUGUGGCUGGGGGUGAAAGGCCAAUCAAACCGGGAGAUAGCUGGUUCUCCCCGAAAGCUAUUUAGGUAGCGCCUCGUGAAUUCAUCUCCGGGGGUAGAGCACUGUUUCGGCUAGGGGGCCAUCCCGGCUUACCAACCCGAUGCAAACUGCGAAUACCGGAGAAUGUUAUCACGGGAGACACACGGCGGGUGCUAACGUCCGUCGUGAAGAGGGAAACAACCCAGACCGCCAGCUAAGGUCCCAAAGUCAUGGUUAAGUGGGAAACGAUGUGGGAAGGCCCAGACAGCCAGGAUGUUGGCUUAGAAGCAGCCAUCAUUUAAAGAAAGCGUAAUAGCUCACUGGUCGAGUCGGCCUGCGCGGAAGAUGUAACGGGGCUAAACCAUGCACCGAAGCUGCGGCAGCGACACUGUGUGUUGUUGGGUAGGGGAGCGUUCUGUAAGCCUGUGAAGGUGGCCUGUGAGGGUUGCUGGAGGUAUCAGAAGUGCGAAUGCUGAC